AACACAGUUUUCUACCUAAGAUCGCAAGGAUGGACUGAAAUCGCAGAUGGUCGAAUACGUGCUAUAGAUAAUGAUACCACGAUGGAAAAAUGACCAUAUGUCACAGUCGUCAACCCAGAACACGAUAACGUUCUCCCACCCCAACCCAUGAUCCCAUUUGUACCCUAAGCUCGCAGGGAUGGAAUCAAAUUACAGACAAGCGAAUAUCGAUGGAGGAGCAUGUAAAUCAGCACACAGAACUGGAUAAAAUAUUAAUAAAUAUUAUGACAAAUUCUGAUGAUGAUGAGAGGCCAAUGGAGCAACAUGGAC